rnacentral:rRNA from 1 species
AGUGUUUGAUUCUGGCUCAGAACGAACGCUGGCAGCGUGGAUUAGGCAUGCAAGUCGAACGAGAAGCCGCUGUUUCAAUCUUCGGAGAGAGACGGUGGUGGAAAGUGGCGAAAGGGUGAGUAACGCGUGGGUAACCUGCCUCCGAGUUUGGGACAACUCCUCGAAAGGGGGGCUAAUACCGGAUACGGUGCUCCGUCGCAUGACGGGGACAUUAAAGAUGGGGACUCUUCGGAACCUGUCGCUGGGAGAUGGACCCGCGUACCAUCAGCUUGUUGGUGGGGUAACGGCCUACCAAGGCUUACGGUUAGCUGGUCUGAGAGGAUGGUCAGCCACACUGGGACUGAGACACUGCCCAGACUCCUACGGGAGGCUGCAGUCGAGGAUCAUUCGCAAUGCGCGAAAGCGUGACGAUGCGACGCUGCGUGGAGGAUGAAGGCCUUUGGGUUGUAAACUCCUGUCAUGAGGGAAAAGACAGCGGGCCGCUAAUACCGGUUCGCCUCGAUGGUACCUCAAGAGGAAGCCACGGCUAACUCUGUGCCAGCAGCCGCGGUAAUACAGAGGUGGCGAGCGUUGUUCGGAUUUACUGGGCGUAAAGCGUGCGUAGGUGGUUUCGUAUGUCGGGUGUGGAAUCCCACGGCUUAACCGUGGAACUGCAUCCGAAACUGCGGGACUUGAGUGCAGGAGGGGAGAGCGGAAUUCUUGGUGUAGCGGUGAAAUGCGUUGAUAUCAAGAAGAACACCGGUGGCGAAGGCGGCUCUCUGGAAUGCUACUGACACUGAGGCACGAAAGCUGGGGGAGCAAACAGGAUUAGAUACCCUGGUAGUCCCAGCUGUAAACGGUGCACACUUGGUGUGGGGGGUAUUGACCCCCCCCGUGCCGGAGCUAACGCGUUAAGUGUGCCGCCUAGGGAGUACGGCCGCAAGGCUAAAACUCAAAGAAAUUGACGGGGGCCCGCACAAGCGGAGGAGCAUGUGGCUUAAUUCGAUGCAACGCGAAGAACCUUACCUGGGCUUGACAUGGUGACCCUUCGGGGGUGGGAGUGAAAGCUCCCUUUACACACACAAGUGCUGCAUGGCUGUCGUCAGUUCGCGCCGUGAGGUGUUGGGUUAAGUCCCGCAACGAACGCAACCCUUGUGUUUAGUUGCCACCGCAGGUGAUGAGCCUGCGAGCACUCUAGACAGACUGCCCGUACAAGCGGGAGGAAGGUGGGGAUGACGUCAAGUCAGUAUGGCCCUACGCCCAGGGCUGCACACGUGCUACAAUGGUCGGUACAAUGGGAAGCAAGACCGCGAGGUGGAGCAAAUCCUAAAAACCGGCGUAAGUUCGGAUUGGAGUCUGAAACUCGACUCCAUGAAGUCGGAUUCGCUAGUAACGGCGUAUCAGCUACGACGCCGUGAAUACGUUCCCGGGCCUUGUACACACCGCCCGUCACAUCAUGAAAGCCGUCUGCACCCGAAGUCGCUGAGCCAACCCGCAAGGGAGGCAGGUGCCGAAGGUGUGGGUGGUGAUU